rnacentral:rRNA from 1 species
CCUACGGGAGGCAGCAGUGGGGAAUAUUGCACAAUGGGGGAAACCCUGAUGCAGCGACGCCGCGUGAGUGAGGAAGUAUUUCGGUAUGUAAAGCUCUAUCAGCAGGGAAGAAAAUGACGGUACCUGACUAAGAAGACCCGGCUAACUACGUGCCAGCAGCCGCGGGAAGACGUAGGGGGCAAGCGUUAUCCGGAUUUACUGGGUGUAAAGGGAGCGUAGACGGUUAAUCAAGUCAGAAGUGAAAACACAGGGCUCAACCUUGGGACUGCUUUUGAAACUGAGUAGCUAGAGUGCAGGAGAGGUAAGCGGAAUUCCUAGUGUAGCGGUGAAAUGCGUAGAUAUUAGGAGGAACACCAGUGGCGAAGGCGGCUGACUGGACUGUAACUGACGUUGAGGCGCGAAAGCGUGGGGAGCAAACAGGAUUAGAUACCCCUGUAGUC